CUAUAACAACCUGAAAUAUUGGGCCUUGGCCCAUCUAAGUUACUUAGAUAACUGAUACUUCAAGGGGACAAUUGCCGGAAGCGAAUUGGAGUUAUUCGGCAAGAGUACAAUAAUUUAGCCGAAGGUGACAUUCUGACUCAGACAGAGCGAUAGACAGAGCUGACAACGAAUCCAGUAAGCCCCCCACUUGUUUCGCGAGGGCAACCAUGUUGCUAACUACUAUAGUAUAUUAGUUUUUUUUCCUUUUUUUUUUUUCUAAUCCUAGAGUUUUGCUCCUUAAGUCGGCCUUGUAUAUCUUAUUUUGGCUUGUGUUAGUAAAGUAUAGCUUGGGACUUAUAAGUUUUGCGAAAGCCCAUCUUGGGAUUCUAAUGCUCUAUAACACUUAAUAUGUUGGUAUUGUAGUUCGUUGGAUUAUUUUACUGGGUGUUGACAGGUUUUGAUUUUUGGAUUUUCUCCCCGUACAGAGGAAACUCUGCCGAAAUUUUUACUAACAAGAAAUGAUUCAGGCUUGUUCAGUUGGCUUAGGCUAACUGAGCGUCGGUCAUGACCUAGGUGGGCGGGUCGUGACAAGUACUCAGGCAUACCAUUGUUGUUUUUGAUGGUAUGUUAGGUAA